GACGAACGCUGGCGGCGUGCUUAACACAUGCAAGUCGAACGGAAAGGCCCUGCUUUUGUGGGGUGCUCGAGUGGCGAACGGGUGAGUAACACGUGAGUAACCUGCCCUUGACUUUGGGAUAACUUCAGGAAACUGGGGCUAAUACCGGAUAGGAGCUCCUGCUGCAUGGUGGGGGUUGGAAAGUUUCGGCGGUUGGGGAUGGACUCGCGGCUUAUCAGCUUGUGGGUGGGGUAGUGGCUUACCAAGGCUUUGACGGGUAGCCGGCCUGAGAGGGUGACCGGCCACAUUGGGACUGCGAUACGGCCCAGACUCCUACGGGAGGCAGCAGUGGGGAAUAUUGCACAAUGGGCGGAAGCCUGAUGCAGCAACGCCGCGUGCGGGAUGACGGCCUUCGGGUUGUAAACCGCCUUCGCCUGUGACGAAGCGUGAGUGACGGUAAUGGGUAAAGAAGCACCGGCUAACUACGUG
rnacentral:rRNA from 1 species